GGCCGCUUACUCCUCGUCCUCAGCCUCGUUGUCGGCAAUGUUGAAGUACCGGAGCUCGUAGACGUUGCGGUCCUUGUUGGAAGCAAUGACGCGCAGCCAGUCGCGCACGUUGUGCUUCUUCAGGUACUUCUUGGUGAGGUACUUCAGGUAGCGCUUGCUCAGCUGGGACUCAGCAGUCACGGUGACCUUGGUCUUCUCCUUGGCCACCUUGAUAGAGUCGCCCAGCACGCCGGUCUUGCC
rnacentral:lncRNA from 1 species